CGAUGGUGGCCGUCCGACGGUGCCCCGCCCGUCCUGACGGACGGCUGGGAUAAUAGGGAAUGCGGUGCGGACCGACCCUCUGGACUGGUCCAAUGCCGCGGCUGCCCCCGCAACUGUGUGCGGCGAGCGUCCUGUCCAUUAUGCCACUGGUCCUUGACGGCCGGGAAGGCGGACGGCGAUGCGGCGACCCGCGAGCCAGGAAACCUGCCGCCGGACGCAUCAAUUU
rnacentral:ncRNA from 2 species